AAUUCAGCUACGAAGACUUCUGUGGAAGAGAUGCCUAGGUAGGAGAACAGCAAGUACAAAUAGCCUAGAGUAGGCUGGAGAAGAACGGGUAGAAACAAGAGUCAGGUUUUCAGACAACAUUGAUCACCAGUGGACGCUACUCUAAUUCCUAACUUUUCCAAAUACCAUCAAAACAAAGUUGUGAACCAACACUUACUGAAGAUUUGAGGAAAAUGAUGAAAACUAGUAGUACUGUACUGUAUAAGCAGCAACUAAAAGCUGAAUAUUAGCCAUUAUUCGACUACAUUUUGUUGACUAUUUGUCAUCUUAGAAUAUUUCCUAUGGACUCCUUCCUCUAUGGACCAGAUUUAAUGUAACUGUUUAUGUUGCCUGCUCUGUCCCUCCACCUCCUUUUUCCAGUUGCCCAGAGAUGUCAAACUUUUCUUGUAUAACUAUGGAAAAUGGCUAUCUUAUAUUGUUUUACUUACUCUCAUCUAGCUUAAGCCCUUUAGUAUCUUCUAAAUUCACUGACAAACAGACCUUGUCUUAUUAAUUAAAAAAAUCACUUACUCCAUAGCCUAAUUAUGCAACUUUCCUAGAUAAUACGUGUCAUAUUUUUCGUAAAAUUAUAUUUCCC
rnacentral:lncRNA from 1 species